rnacentral:rRNA from 1 species
AGCCUGAACGCUGGCGGCGUGGCUAAGACAUGCAAGUCGCACGGUGUAGCAAUACACAGUGGCGGACGGGAGAGUAAAGAAUCGCUAAUGUGCCCCGGACCUCUGGGAUAGCUGCUCGAAAGGGCAGGUAAUACCAGAUGAGACCACGAUCAGGCAUCUGAUUGUGCUCAAAAGGUCCGCCGGUCUGGGAAGCAGGCGAUUUCGUAUCAGCUAGUUGGUGAGGUAACGGCUCACCAAGGCGACGACGCGUAGCCGGACUGAGAGGUUGGCCGGCCUCAUUGGGACUGAGACACUGCCCAGACGUCCUACCGGGGGGGCUGCAGUAACGAAUCCCUCGUCAAAUGCAACGAAAGUGUGAACGAGCGACGCCGCGUGAGGAGAAGCCCUCGGGUGUAAACUACUGUCGAGGGUUAGAAAGUUCUGACUCAACCCAGAGAAGAGCGGACUAACUCUGUGCCAGACACGCGCGGUAA